GAUGAACGCUGGCGGCGUGCUUAACACAUGCAAGUCGAACGAUGAAGCCCAGCUUGCUGGGUGGAUUAGUGGCGAACGGGUGAGUAACACGUGAGUAACCUGCCCUUAACUCUGGGAUAAGCCUGGGAAACUGGGUCUAAUACCGGAUAGGAGCGCCUACCGCAUGGUGGGUGUUGGAAAGAUUUAUCGGUUUUGGAUGGACUCGCGGCCUAUCAGCUUGUUGGUGAGGUAAUGGCUCACCAAGGCGACGACGGGUAGCCGGCCUGAGAGGGUGACCGGCCACACUGGGACUGAGACACGGCCCAGACUCCUACGGGAGGCAGCAGUGGGGAAUAUUGCACAAUGGGCGAAAGCCUGAUGCAGCGACGCCGCGUGAGGGAUGACGGCCUUCGGGUUGUAACCCUCUUUCAGUAGGGAAGAAGCGAAAGUGACGGUACCUGCAGAAGAAGCACCGGCUAACUACGUG
rnacentral:rRNA from 1 species